UACGUAGGGAGCAAGCGUUGUUCGGAUUUACUGGGCGUAAAGGGCGCGUAGGCGGCGCGGUAAGUCACUUGUGAAAUCUCUGAGCUUAACUCAGAACGGCCAAGUGAUACUGCAGUGCUAGAGUGCAGAAGGGGCAAUCGGAAUUCUUGGUGUAGCGGUGAAAUGCGUAGAUAUCAAGAGGAGCACCUGAGGUGAAGACGGGUUGCUAGGCUGACACUGACGCUGAGGCGCGAAAGCCAGGGGAGCAAACGGG
rnacentral:rRNA from 1 species